GGCUCCAUAAGCUCAGAGGUUAGAGCACUGGUCUUGUAACCAGGGGUCGCGAGUUCAAUUCUCGCUGGGGCCU
rnacentral:tRNA from 1 species